rnacentral:rRNA from 1 species
AUUGAACGCUGGCGGCAUGCCUUACACAUGCAAGUCGAACGGCAGCACGGGAGCAAUCCUGGUGGCGAGUGGCGAACGGGUGAGUAAAGUAUCGGAACGUGCCCAGUCGUGGGGGAUAACGUAGCGAAAGUUACGCUAAUACCGCAUACGAUCUAUGGAUGAAAGCGGGGGAUCGCAAGACCUCGCGCGAUUGGAGCGGCCGAUAUCAGAUUAGGUAGUUGGUGGGGUAAAGGCUCACCAAGCCGACGAUCUGUAGCUGGUCUGAGAGGACGACCGGCCACACUGGGACUGAGACACGGCCAAGACUCCUACGGGAGGCAGCAGUGGGGAAUUUUGGACAAUGGGCGCAAGCCUGAUCCAGCCAUGCCGCGUGCAGGAUGAAGGCCUUCGAGUUGUAAACUGCUUUUGUACGGAACGAAAAGGUUUGACUUAAUACGUUGGACUCAUGACGGUACCGUAAGAAUAAGCACCGGCUAACUACGUGCCAGCCGCCGCGGUAA